GACGUAGGGCGCGAGCGUUGUCCGGAUUUAUUGGGCGUAAAGAGCUCGUAGGCGGCUUGUCGCGUCGUCCGUGAAAACCUGCAGCUCAACUGCAGGCUUGCGGGCGAUACGGGCAGGCUAGAGUUCGGUAGGGGAGACUGGAAUUCCUGGUGUAGCGGUGAAAUGCGCAGAUAUCGGGAGGAACACCGGUGGCGAAGGCGGUUCUCUGGGCCUUACCUGACGCUGAAGAGCGAAAGCGUGGGGAGCGAACAGG
rnacentral:rRNA from 1 species